GAUGAUGGAUAGUCCACCACCAUGUCGGAGGUUGCAGCUUGCUCCCCAGCUACGAGCCUUGCCCUGAACUCUUUCCAGUCAGCAUCUGCUUUAGAUUUGUUGACACAAUCCUUGAUGAGAUCAUCAGUAUCACUCUCCAAUGGCUUCCAUGAAUCCGAAAGAGAACCUAUUCAAGAAAAAGACUCUCAUCAGCCUUGAAACUUCUACAAUCUUUUUAACUUCUAAGGCAAGAAAGUUCACAAAUUUAGAUCUUACUUACAUUUUACAGAGAUGGGAGCAGCAACCUUCCUGGUGAGGAACUUGCCGGAGCUUCUCUUGGGGCAAGAAUAGAUUCUGUCUUUGGUGAACGGGACAAUAUCUUUAACACCAGAGAUUGAUCUUGAGUUACAAAGGACCACCUACUUGGUGACGUUCGUUACAUGACAUCAUUACAAAACUGAGCAUCAGUUGACAUCACUACUUAAUGAGGUCCAUUUACAUGACAUCAUUGCAAAAUUGAUCACCAGUAGUUGUCAAUGUCAUCAGCCUUAUACAAGUCAAGUUCUACGGAUCGCCUAACCAUAAGGAACUUCCUGAUUGAUUAGAAGAACCUGUUUUGGGGACUAAGAAUCUGGAGGUAGUAUUCCAAGAUCAAGUCCAUCUCAAGAUUAAUUAAUUAUGCAGUGUAUACAUCACCCAAACUCGUUGAAUCUUGUGACUACAUGGAUAAAACCAUCUUUGUGGACAUUUGAAAAAUGAACUACAACUAUAUGGGCUUGAGAACACUGCUGAUAU